rnacentral:rRNA from 2 species
GAGUUUGAUCUUGGCUCAGAUUGAACGCUGGCGGCAUGCCUUACACAUGCAAGUCGAACGGCAGCACGGGAGCUUGCUCCUGGUGGCGAGUGGCGAACGGGUGAGUAAUGCAUCGGAACGUAUCCUGGAGUGGGGGAUAACGUAGCGAAAGUUACGCUAAUACCGCAUAUUCUGUGAGCAGGAAAGCGGGGGACCUUCGGGCCUCGCGCUCUUGGAGCGGCCGAUGUCGGAUUAGCUAGUUGGUGAGGUAAAGGCUCACCAAGGCGACGAUCCGUAGCAGGUCUGAGAGGAUGAUCUGCCACACUGGAACUGAGACACGGUCCAGACUCCUACGGGAGGCAGCAGUGGGGAAUUUUGGACAAUGGGGGCAACCCUGAUCCAGCCAUGCCGCGUGAGUGAAGAAGG